CUUGAAGGGCAUGCGCAGGCUGGCGUCCAGUGCAGUGAAAACCAGCUCUACCCUUUAAGACGAGCUCUUGAGAGGUUGGUUUGAGUCAUGUGCAAGAUUUGUUCUUCAUACAGUCACAACAAAAGGAAGAUAUAAAUAAUUCGUACUCCCACCAUGUUGUUUCCUUCUUUCAUCCUCAGGCCCUAUAAGUGUACAUCUGGGUCAUGCUCUAUGAAGAGACUGUUGUUAUCAAUGAGUUCGAUGCAUAUAUUUGUUAGCACUGACAGAUUCAGACACAGAUAUUUUCCACCUCCAAUGUUCAGAUCUGGUGUAGCUGCUGGGAGCCCUGGGCUGGAUAUGUACCCAGGUGACUCAUGGGGAAGGAUGCACCCUUCUGAGAAGCAUCACCUUUCUCAAGAAGCAUGACAGAGCUCCCGAUAUUAGACUUUCAAGACGUCUACCAGGCCUUCUUUGGAAUAAAUUGUGUCAUUGAAUGGAUAACAUCACUAUUGUAAAACCUCAGAUUGGUGCUCAAGAUAGUUUUCAGACCCUGCACUUGAUGGAUCAGCUGGCACUACUCAGAUCAACACACUGGCUCACCUGGUCUUGUGGCCCCCACCCAGGAAAUGACUCAGCACAAGAGGACAGCUUUGACUCCCUGUGAUUUCAUCUCAGACCCAACCAGUCAGCUCUCCCUACUACUUGGCCCCCUACCCACCAAAUUAUCCUUAAAAAACCCCAGCCUCUAAAUUUUGGGGGUGACUGUUUUGAGUAAUAAUAAAACUCUGGUAUCCCAUUGAGCCAGCUCUGCAUGAAUUAGUUAACUGUUUCUCUCUUGCAGUUCCUCUGUCUUGAUAAAUCAGCCUGUCUGGGCAGUGGGCAAAAUGAACCCCCAACAGGAGGAUUUCAAAUGUAAAGGUAAGGAAAACUAUUACAUGUCCCUGUGUUCUGGCAGCAGGUAUGAGGCUGUGCCAGCCCUCCCUCUUGCUGUGAAGUUGCCUGUGGAUGGGACACUGUG
rnacentral:lncRNA from 1 species